rnacentral:rRNA from 1 species
CAUGGCUCAGGAUGAACGCUGGCGGCGUGCCUAAUACAUGCAAGUCGAACGCACAGCGAAAGGUGCUUGCACCUUUCAAGUGAGUGGCGAACGGGUGAGUAACACGUGGAUAACCUACCUCAAGGUUGGGGAUAACAUUUGGAAACAGAUGCUAAUACCGAAUAAAACUUCGUAUCGCAUGAUACAAGGUUAAAAGGCGCUACGGCGUCACCUAGAGAUGGAUCCGCGGUGCAUUAGUUAGUUGGUGGGGUAAAGGCCUACCAAGACAAUGAUGCAUAGCCGAGUUGAGAGACUGAUCGGCCACAUUGGGACUGAGACACGGCCCAAACUCCUACGGGAGGCUGCAGUAGGGAAUCUUCCACAAUGGGCGAAAGCCUGAUGGAGCAACGCCGCGUGUGUGAUGAAGGCUUUCGGGUCGUAAAGCACUGUUGUAUGGGAAGAACAGCUAGAGUAGGGAAUGACUUUAGUUUGACGGUACCAUACCAGAAAGGGACGGCUAAAUACGUG